AAUGGUACUGGUGUAAAGUAGUAGGCAUCUUGGCAUUAUACUAUGGGGACAAUGCCAACAUUUUACAUUUGUCAUGACUGUCAACUGAGUUAAGGCAUAAACACAUCUGAAAGCAAAGGAUGGAGAAUGGAAAGCCAAAAGAGACAGCUUUAGCUUCUGCAGAGCCAGACAUAAAACAACAACAUGAAGUAGAUAAAGGAGAAAGACACUAAAUGCAGAGUGCUUGACGGACGUAGUGAGUAGCAAGAUUCCCUAAACAGUGAUGGAGGCAGUGACAGUGUGACAGCAAAAAGGAGUGUUCGCAAAAAUCCUUUAGCUACAUCUUCCAAACUGACAGACAUGGGAGUGUCUCAGGCCGGACAUUUCUGAAACACGUACGACAGCGUACUGGUGUGCUGCUGUUUUGUAUCCUUUUAAUGCUUCUGAAGGAGGACAGUGAUAUGCCUGCCAGUAAUUCUGAGGAGGAGGAUGAUGAUGAUGAUGAUGAUAUGGACUGUGACAGCUUUGAAGAACGGGACUUUGAGGCCAACUCUAGCGAAUUACAGGGAUCUUGUACUUCUGAUUUUUGUGUUUUGCAGUAAUUUCCUACAGUUUGAACUGUAAUUUCAUAGGGUUUCUUUUGCUAA